rnacentral:rRNA from 1 species
CACAUGCAAGUCGAGGGGCAGCAUAUUUAUAGCAAUAUAAAUGAUGGCGACCGGCGCACGGGUGAGUAACACGUAUCCAACCUCCCUUUUACUCGGGAAUAGCCUUUCGAAAGAAAGAUUAAUACCCGAUAGUAUAUGGUUUUCUCAUGAAGACUUUAUUAAAGAAUUUCGGUAAAAGAUGGGGAUGCGUUCCAUUAGGCAGUUGGCGGGGUAACGGCCCACCAAACCUACGAUGGAUAGGGGUUCUGAGAGGAAGGUCCCCCACAUUGGAACUGAGACACGGUCCAAACUCCUACGGGAGGCAGCAGUGAGGAAUAUUGGUCAAUGGGCGAGAGCCUGAACCAGCCAAGUAGCGUGAAGGAUGACUGCCCUAUGGGUUGUAAACUUCUUUUGCAGGGGAAUAAAGUGCGGUACGUGUACCGUUUUGUAUGUACCCUGAGAAUAAGGAUCGGCUAACUCCGUGCCAGCAGCCGCGGUAAUACGGAGGAUCCGAGCGUUAUCCGGAUUUAUUGGGUUUAAAGGGUGCGUAGGUGGUUCAAUAAGUCAGCGGUGAAAGAUUGCAGCUUAACUGUAAAAAUGCCGUUGAAACUGUUGAACUUGAGUGUAAAUGAGGUAGGCGGAAUGCGUGGUGUAGCGGUGAAAUGCUUAGA